rnacentral:rRNA from 1 species
UACGAAGGGGGCUAGCGUUGCUCGGAAUUACUGGGCGUAAAGGGCGCGUAGGCGGGUCGUUAAGUUAGAGGUGAAAGCCCAGGGCUCAACCCUGGAAUUGCCUUUGAUACUGGCGGCCUUGAGUAUGGCAGAGGUGUGUGGAACUCCGAGUGUAGAGGUGAAAUUCGUAGAUAUUCGGAAGAACACCAGUGGCGAAGGCGACUUACUGGACCCAUACUGACGCUGAGGUGCGAAAGCGUGGGGAGCAAACAGG